UGAUAUUGAUGAUAUUGACGAUAUUGGGCAAUGUUACAUCAUCAGCAAAAUUAUCUUGAUUACAUCAUUAAUAUUCUUUAUAUUGCCCAGCCCUUCUAACAAGUGGCUUUCUUGUGGCCAUACAGCUGUUUAGUCCAAAUCCUGUAAGUUCUCGUUGCAUUGUGCGUGUGGAAAGAUCUACUGUCGAUUUUUUUACAAUGUGACUUCAAGCAUUUUAGUGAUCUCUGAUCAUGAUCAUUCAAGAUUUUAUUCAGGCCACAUACUUCCGUGAAGCUGAUGGUUCACGACUAUCCUUCCAGGUUUUCAUAAUGCAUUGGACAGUUCUUAACCCAAUUCCAGUGGUUUCACCAAUCUCCUAAUUUUAUUCUUUGCUUGACGCAGGCCAAUAAUUUGCCCCUUCUGAAACGCAGUAAUAUCUUUUGCACGACCACAGGCUACGUCUUCCGACAUGGUUGUUUAAGAAAUAAGAAGCUACACACUGCAUCAGUUAGGGUUAAAAUAAUUAUUGCCAUCUGAAACAUAUUUUAUUUAUUAAUAAAUUAAAUAUAUGUCUCAGUCCCCGCUGCCCCCAGGUCGCCGAGUUUGUAGCAACUCCUCCCUCAUUUAGAAUUUAGACCCUACUCAUGAAAAGGUUAAUGAGUCACCAUAGUGAUCUAUACUGUACCCACGUGUUUAAAUAUGAGUGCUAUGCACUGAUCUAUAUAUAUAACUGGAUAGCUCAUGACGUCACAAAAGUGAAGCUACUGCGCCGCCAUCUUGGUAUUCCCUAACGUUCUGUAUUCCUGUGGGUCUCAAUGGGAAAUCGUCUGUUUUGGUGAGUACUUUUUACCUAUCCAGUCACAUAAAAAAAAUGUUUUAUGUCUGCAUACACUGCAUCACAAUGCAAUCUUCCUAAAUAUGUAAUUCAUUAUUUAUUUUGACUUUAAUUUUUUCCCCCUGCUUAUUCUAAAUGUGAGCGUGUUAUGUUACUCUUUAUUGCAGCAGCAUUACGUUCAGCGGCGCACGUGCGCACAUGUUUCAAUAGAAACAAGUUUAAGAAACUUGAGUGCAGGCCUGAAUACGGUCCAGCUCACGGGCAUCAUUUAUAAAGUGAUCAGUUGGAAUAGACGAGGAGCAGGGCUGGACUGGUAAUCUGGCCUACCGGACAUUUUUCCGGUGGACCGACGCACUUUGGGGCCGAUCAGGGUGGACUAGCCAUCGGGAGAACCGAGCGGGCCGCAGUGUCGGCCGCGAUAAGCUAAAACGAGCCGCCGCGUUAGUGAACUCUCUCUCCCCCCCCAACACAUUUUUGGCCAGUUAUGUCAAAUCCCGGGCCGAUUUCUCUUCCCAGUCCAGCCCGUAAAGGAGCACAUGGAUAUUGUUGAAGAUAAACAAGGUUGAACAUGUUUGCCUCAAGUUCCCUGAAUGCAGAACCACCAUGUAGAUCCAGAACCUUUGUGGGGACAGAGAUGGGCCUUGUGAGUGUGUGCUGUUGAAGAAAUCUCUCAGCUGUCUUGCAGACUUUCAGGACGCUGUCUGACGGUCUUAUAAAUCCACCUCAGGACUUCAUGUCGAUUAGUGUGUUCAUCUUGGGAAGAGCUCUCGACACUGAGUGCUGAUAAACAGGCUGAACGUCACUGCCUGAAAUGCCAGCAUAUCAGAAGAUGCUGCCUCCAGUGUCACUGUGCUAUCCGGUGGAGAACUGUUGCCACUAGCUCUGAUGGCAUGUCUUGCUACCAUUCUUUUGAAAGCUGAAUAAUGUGGGAUUGUUGUUAAAUCCAUUAGCAGAUUUGCUCCCACAUAUCUGCACAUUUUAUUGUAUUGUUCAGUUUAAGUCAAUUUUUGUGU